rnacentral:rRNA from 1 species
GAUGAACGCUGGCGGCGUGCCUAAUACAUGCAAGUCGAGCGAACAGAUGAGGAGCUUGCUCCUCUGACGUUAGCGGCGGACGGGUGAGUAACACGUGGAUAACCUACCUAUAAGACUGGGAUAACUUCGGGAAACCGGAGCUAAUACCGGAUAAUAUAUUGAACCGCAUGGUUCAAUAGUGAAAGACGGUUUUGCUGUCACUUAUAGAUGGAUCCGCGCCGCAUUAGCUAGUUGGUAAGGUAACGGCUUACCAAGGCAACGAUGCGUAGCCGACCUGAGAGGGUGAUCGGCCACACUGGAACUGAGACACGGUCCAGACUCCUACGGGAGGCAGCAGUAGGGAAUCUUCCGCAAUGGGCGAAAGCCUGACGGAGCAGCGCCGCGUGGGUGAUGAAGGUCUUCGGAUCGUAAAACUCUCUUAUUAGGGAAGAACAAUUGUGUAAGUAACUAUGCACGUCUUGACGGUACCUAAUCAGAAAGCCACGGCUAACUACGUG